GGAGCACACCGCGUGAGUGAAGAAGGGUUUCGGCUCGUAAAGCUCUGUUGUUAGAGAAGAACGUGCGUGAGAGCAACUGUUCACGCAGUGACGGUAUCUAACCAGAAAGUCACGGCUAACUACGUGCCAGCAGCCGCGGUAAUACGUAGGUGGCAAGCGUUAUCCGGAUUUAUUGGGCGUAAAGCGAGCGCAGGCGGUUUGAUAAGUCUGAUGUGAAAGCCUUUGGCUUAACCAAAGAAGUGCAUCGGAAACUGUCAGACUUGAGUGCAGAAGAGGACAGUGGAACUCCAUGUGUAGCGGUGGAAUGCGUAGAUAUAUGGAAGAACACCAGUGGCGAAGGCGGCUGUCUGGUCUGCAACUGACGCUGAGGCUCGAAAGCAUGGGUAGCGAACAGGAUUAGAUACCCUGGUAGUCCAUGCCGUAAACGAUGAGUGCUAGGUGUUGGAGGGUUUCCGCCCUUCAGUGCCGCAGCUAACGCAUUAAGCACUCCGCCUGGGGAGUACGACCGCAAGGUUGAAACUCAAAGGAAUUGACGGGGGCCCGCACAGCGGUGGAGCAUGUGGUUUAAUUCGAAGCUACGCGAAGAACCUUACCAGGUCUUGACAUCUUGCGCCAACCCUAGAGAUAGGGCGUUUCCUUCGGGAACGCAAUGACAGGUGGUGCAUGGUCGUCGUCAGCUCGUGUCGUGAGAUGUUGGGUUAAGUCCCGCAACGAGCGC
rnacentral:rRNA from 2 species